CUUCUUUUCUCGUUUCGAUUUCUCCCUUCUCUCCUCUUUCCCCUCCCCUUUCCUCUCCCCUUUCCUCUCCUUCCUGACUUUCACUCUUCCCUCCGUUGUUUCUCCCUUUCGUGGUGUCGCGUUGUUUUGCGUUCUCGGUGUAUCCCUCAGUCAACCGCGAUCGCUGAGAGUCGAGAUCGCAAGUCUCGAACAUGCCGUUUCUCCCUCUUGCGGCUUCGUUUCUU
rnacentral:lncRNA from 1 species